AGAGUUUGAUCAUGGCUCAGAACGAACGCUGGCGGCGUGCUUAACACAUGCAAGUCGAGUGCGCGGUUGUAGCAAUACAACUGGCGCACGGCGCACGGGUGCGUAACACGUGGGCAAUCUGCCCUCCGAUGGGGAAUAACCCCGCGAAGGCGGGGCUAAUUCCGCAUAACAUUCCCUGGACUCUGGUUCGGGGAUUCAAAGCAGCAAUGCGUCGGAGGAGGAGCCCGCGCCCGAUUAGCUAGUUGGUGAGGUAACGGCUCACCAAGGCAAUGAUCGGUAGCUGGUCUGAGAGGAUGGCCAGCCACACUGGAACUGAGACACGGUCCAGACUCCUACGGGAGGCAGCAGUGGGGAAUCUUGCGCAAUGGGCGAAAGCCUGACGCAGCGACGCCGCGUGGGGGAUGAAGCUUCUCGGAGUGUAAACCCCUUUCGACCGGGACGAAUGCCCGCAAGGGAGUGACGGUACCGGUAGAAGAAGCCCCGGCUAACUACGUGCCAGCAGCCGCGGUAAGACGUAGGGGGCCAGCGUUGUUCGGAAUUACUGGGUGUAAAGGGUUCGUAGGCGGUGUGGCAAGUCGGGAGUGAAAUUUCUGGGCUUAACCCAGAGGCUGCUUCCGAAACUGCUGUGCUCGAGUGUGGGAGAGGCGCGUGGAAUUGCAGGUGUAGCGGUGAAAUGCGUAGAUAUCUGCAGGAACACCCGUGGCGAAAGCGGCGCGCUGGACCACUACUGACGCUGAGGAACGAAAGCUAGGGGAGCAAACAGGAUUAGAUACCCUGGUAGUCCUAGCCCUAAACGAUCAGGACUUGGGGUGCCACCCGUUCGGGUGUCGUCCCGGAGCUAACGCGUUAAGUCCUGCACCUGGGGAGUACGGUCGCAAGACUGAAACUCAAAGGAAUUGACGGGGCCCGCACAAGCGGUGG
rnacentral:rRNA from 1 species